CAACUAGCAUACAUAUUUAUUCGAUGACAUCUAAAAAUUAAUUGUGCGAGCCUAUAAUAUAAUUUCCCUCCAAAAUGCAGUUUUGGAGCGAAAUGCAAUAAUAGUCAAGAUAGCAGAGAGUAGGCUCUUUCAACAAUGACACCAAACGGUGAUGAAGGUGGUCUUGGUCGCGCUGUUGGGCGGGUGUAAGGGACCAGCCCUGCCGAAAGCGCAGGUCUGUGUGGGUCUAGAGAUGGUUGAAGUCCCGAAAGCAUGGAGGGGAGUUCCACCGUCUAAUUCAAGAUCUUCAACUGUUUGGAGAAGAAUUUCGAAGUUACUUUCGAUGGUUGGAGCCAGGAUCGCCCGGAUGGAUACCAACUACUGGGAGUCCAUCAGCCCAGUUAAACGCCUGGCGAUUUGUCUCCGAGGUCAUUCCAGGAGCCGCUCUGGGUGGAGACGGGCACGCCAAAUGGUCACCUACCUGAUGUCACCAGGGCAUGUGCCAACAACACCCCCAGACAGGCACUCCAGGUGAGGGAGAAGCUGACCACCUACUUCAUCACCAGCAGGUGAAGUCCCAUGACAAUAUGCCGUGGAGUGAAACAGCUCUUUGAAGAACCCCCUAACACCAAGGUUAUUUUAAGAACCAUCCACCGCUGUCCAUGAAAUUGCAUUUUUCCCCCAGAUUACUUUAAGUCUCAUUGUUUCUCUUCAUUUGGAAGUUAUAUUUAAGUGAAAUUUGGGAGUAAAGACCACACCUUAACCCCUUCCCUCUCCCAUUAACAUCAGUAUUAUACACACCUGGCAUGGUACAUCAGAUGAGCAGGACCUCUAAGGUUAUACGACAUACAGUUAGUAUGAUAAUGGGAAAAGUUAACCUUGGGUCCAUACAAAUAGUACAGUUUACCAACAUAUUCACUGCUCUGACAAAAUGCAGGUGGAGAAAAAACUAAUUAGGAAGCAAAUGUGUUUUUACUUUAAUCUUGUGUUAGAUCUGCAAAAGGUGUAGGGAAGAAAUAAGCAGAUUAAGUCUAAAUGAGAUAUUAAUAAACAAAUUAAACUGACUAUGAAAACAUUAGAAUUUAAUAAGUAUUGAAGUCCAGGAAAGAACAUGACAGGUAUGUGUUGUAAAACUGUUACAAAAAAUAAAAACUAUUGAAAGAGUUGUGUGUGUGUGUGUGUGUGUGUGUGCGCAUGUAAAAAUACAACAAUUAAUGUGUAGCCUGUAAGAGAACAAAAAGAGCAGGUAUUUUUGGCACAGCUGCAGACAGAUACAGGGACUACUCAAAGCCUAGACGUAGUAAGGAACUUCAGACAUGGCCAUAAAGAGAGAAAGGGCAGGGCACUGGAGAUCUGAGGGACAGAGAGGAGUGGUGUGUGUCUGAAAAAAUGAAAAGUGAAUGUGCUGGUCGGCUAAAUUAACUCUCUCUGGAAG
ensembl:lncRNA